GAGCGCCCCGCAAGGGGAGCGGCAGACGGGAGAGUAACACGUGGGAACGUACCCUUCAGUUCGGAACAACCCAGGGAAACUUGGGCUAAUACCGAAUACGUCCGUAAGGAGAAAGAUUUAUCGCCGGAGGAUUGGCCCGCGUCUGAUUAGCUUGUUGGUGAGGUAAUGGCCCACCAAGGCGACGAUCAGUAGCUGGUCUGAGAGGAUGAUCAGCCACAUUGGGACUGAGACACGGCCCAAACUCCUACGGGAGGCAGCAGUGGGGAAUAUUGGACAAUGGGCGAAAGCCUGAUCCAGCCAUGCCGCGUGAGUGAUGAAGGCCUUAGGGUUGUAAAGCUCUUUUACCCGGGAAGAUAAUGACGGUACCGGGAGAAUAAGCCCCGGCUAACUUCGUGCCAGCAGCCGCGGUAAUACGAAGGGGGCUAGCGUUGUUCGGAAUUACUGGGCGUAAAGCGCACGUAGGCGGAUCUUUAAGUCAGGGGUGAAAUCCCGAGGCUCAACCUCGGAACUGCCUUUGAUACUGGGGAUAUCGAGUCCGGGAGAGGUGAGUGGAACUGCGAGUGUAGAGGUGAAAUUCGUAGAUAUUCGCAAGAACACCAGUGGCGAAGGCGGCUCACUGGCCCGGUACUGACGCUGAGGUGCGAAAGCGUGGGGA
rnacentral:rRNA from 1 species